rnacentral:rRNA from 1 species
UACGAAGGGGGCUAGCGUUGUUCGGAAUUACUGGGCGUAAAGCGCACGUAAGCGGAUUGUUAAGUCAGGGGUGAAAUCCUGGAGCUCAACUCCAGAACUGCCUUUGAUACUGGCGAUCUCGAGUCCGGGAGAGGUGAGUGGAACUGCGAGUGUAGAGGUGAAAUUCGUAGAUAUUCGCAAGAACACCAGUGGCGAAGGCGGCUCACUGGCCCGGUACUGACGCUGAGGUGCGAAAGCGUGGGGAGCAAACAGG